rnacentral:lncRNA from 1 species
CUUUUUUUUUUGUUGUUGUUUGUUUGUUUGUUUUUUUUCCCCAAGUGUUGCUGGCUGCUCUGUCUUUAGUAAGAGUUAAUACAGCAUAGGAAUAAAGUAGGACUAAGUAACUAUGUCUAUUCAUACUUUCAAUUUUCUAUUUGGACUAAGGGAUUUGGUCAGUGACAGUAAAAACAGAGGACUAUGAAAGAAAUAUUUGGCAAACGUUUUUAGCAGUCUUUUAAAUAUGUGCCUUAACAAAUAAAUAAAUUAAGACACUCAGUCUGAAGGAAAGCAAAAAGCCAGAACUGAUAUCAGAGAGGCAUCUGUAUCAUGACAGGUUAUUAAUAAUUUGAAGUAAUAUUUAGCCUCAAAGAUAGCAAAACUGAAUAGUCACCAAUACUCAUCUGUCAUCUCAUUGGGUGAAGUGGGAUUUGAAAAUUUUAAAGCUCCUCAUCUGAGAUAUCACAAAAUUCCUGAAGGUUUUUUCCUUUCUUUUUUUUUUUUUUCCUCUUUUUUUCCUGAGUUUUGGACAAUAGUAGUACUACUACUGAUUGAGCCAACCAAAUGGUUGUGAAGGAACGAGCACUUACUAAAUACAUGUUUAGGGCCAAAUUCAAAUUCUGUGGAAACAUCUGGGAAACAUUAAUUUAGCUGAAAUGAAAUUAAGAUGCAGUUCUCAUGCUGUAUUUCCUAUAUGCUACCCCUGUACUUUUACAGAGAUUCAUGCAAGGAUCCUUAUUCCAUAUGGCUAUGUUGGCCUAACAAAUGUUGGCUAGAUUCUGUCAUCCUUGUAAUGAGUAAGUAAAAUUUUACCCAAGUCAAAUAAUUAAUUUUGAAUAAGUUCCUACUUACAUAAGAAUGUCAGAAUAUAGACCUUCAGAUUUAUCAUUUGCUGUAUAUUCCAGUCUUACACAUAUAGAUAUGAACUUAAUGGACCAUGGUAUGCUUAAAAAAAUAACUGGAAAUUCAGAAUGAAGCAAAGAAACAAAUCAACCAACAAUAACAGGAUGAAAGAGAAAUUAAUAGGAAUAAAAUCCCUUAGGAAUCUGCCCAAGAACUAACACAACACAAUCAGAAAUUCAGAACAUUUAUUGCAAAAGCUGAAUAACUAAAUAAUGUUGAACUGGCAAAGCAGUAACAAGGAUAACUGGUUAGAUAUUUAUUCUGUCAAAGUCAUCAAACAACCCUCACAAACUGACAUAAGUACUGCAAUAAGCAAUGCACCCCUAACCCAUUUUUAAGCC